rnacentral:rRNA from 1 species
CAAUGGAACGAAAGUCUGAUGGAGCAACGCCGCGUGAGUGAAGGAAGGGUUUCGGCUCGUAAAGCUCUGUUGGUAGUGAAAGAAAGAUAGAGGUAGUAACUGGCCUUUAUUUGACGGUAAUUACUUAGAAAGUCACGGCUAACUACGUGCC